UUGCAUAGAAAUAACUUUCAAAUGUAUUUUGUAUAUAACAAUUAUUGUUUUUAAGCCAUGUAACGAUCUUAGUGAUUUUUUAUAUAUUUUAAUGUAAGGUACUCCAUAAAGUGAACAAUUUCAACAAGAGUCGUUGAACUUGAUAAGUUAUGAAUGCAUAUUUUCUGGUAAGUUACUAUUUGGUACACAUGUGACUCCAAAUAAAAACAUUAAUCAAUUACAAUAAAAUGAUGCACAGCUUAUUGACAUCAUCAAUUUCCUUCUAAAAGUUGUAUCUAU
rnacentral:lncRNA from 1 species